GGUGCGGGGCGGGGAUGCUGUUGGGCACGGCACAGCCAGCGGCUGAGUCCGUUGGCGGGCAGGGCUGGUGACCCUUUCCCCGGGGCCUGGCCCUGGAGCCACCAUGUUUUUGGCGCUCAAGGAGAGACUCCAGUUGGACUGGGUGGCCUGGCGGCUGCAUGUGUUCUACAAGCGGAAGAAGCACAAGUUCAUCUUCAUCAUCUCCUGGAAUGAGAUUGAGGGCAAGUUUGCCAUAACCUGCUAAAACCGGAUGGCCCAGAGGCAGAGGAGCGGCACCAGCGGUCAGGUCUACUUGGGCCACGACCUGGACACCUGUGGCUGGAAGAUCCUCUCCCAAGAAUUCUUCACGGAAACCCACGACUGGGAGUAUUAUGAACCCUUAGCGAGCUGCAGCAGAAGGACCAGGAAGCGCAUCCAGGAGUGAGGCCAGACCCAGGCACUGAGUGAACAAGACUGCGAGCUGAGAUUCUGGAGCUGCUGCCACCACCACCAGCAUGAGAGCGAGGGAGCACCCGAGGGACCCAGCCCCUGUGCGCUGGCCCAGCUGAGACCUGCGCCCAACCUGGGGCCAGCGGGAGCCACGGCCCCCCGUCUCCCCACUCCCCUCCCCGCCGGCAGCGGCAGCUGCACACGCCGGAGCCCGAGCCGGCGGCCGGGGGGCCGGGAGGCGGCUACCUCGGGCGGGGCUCGUCAGCGGCUCCGCGGUGAGAGGGCGCUGAGACGCGGCUGGAGCUUCUGUCUCAUCCUGGGGCGUGGGGCAAGGGACUCCCAAGGUGGAGGGAAGGGGUCCCAGCCUCAGCGACACCUGUGGGAGCCGGAAGCCGGGGUGGCGCCUAGCGGAGCUGGCUGGAUCCCCCACCUCAGUGCCAUCUCCGCCACCCUUCUGCGUCUAUAGCAUCUCCACCCUGAGUAUAUGAGCCGGGACCCCAAGUUCGGCCACCACCCCCCAGCCAGGGGUGUGGGCGGGGACCCCAAUAUGAAGUAGUGGCCCGGGCAGCGGGAUCAGCAGGACCGGCACCGCCAUCCUUUCCUUCUCUCGCCCUCCCUUCUGCCCCCUUGGGGGUCUUCUCCCUUAACCAGUCACUGGACCCUGGCUCCUCGGCAGGACUCCGGGAGGACGUCUUAGGGCCCCAUCCCCCACCCCAGCCCCGAGGGCGGCGGGUUUGGGGGGACCUGGAGGGCCGACUGCAGCCUUCGCCCAGAGGGAACUUUAUUAAAAUCAAAAUACAGAGCACCCCAAAUCUGACUGUCCAGGGACAAGUGGACCAGGACCGGCAGAAUACCCAGCCUGAAGAGGGCCAGAAAGAGAAGAGGAGGGAAGUGGGGCCGCUGCCUCUUCUGCUCUGUCGCUGUUGAAAAGACCUGGGUGGCUGCCCCGCUUAGCAGCACCAGCCCCGCUUCUUCCUUAGUAAGGCGCGGGCCCUGCCGCAGCUGCCGCCUCCAUCCCGAGGAGGAAGGGAACCAGCCCACCUACAGAGCUCUGGCUCUUCUGUAAUGUGUCUUAGGCUUAUCCCUUCAGUGUGGGGGUAAAAUGAUUCUCCGUGAAGCUUUCUGGCCACUACUGAGGACUACCCCUGACUUCUACUUUGCCUGGGCAUUGUUCACCACCUGUCGGAGUUGGCUGUCCUGCCCCACACGUGUGCGUGUGUGGCUCCCUGGCCCACUGCUCUGUUUGCUGUCUGUGUGAGGCCCAGCAACAGCGGCGGCUUUCAGCUGGGAGUUUCAAGCUCCUAAAAAAUUUCACAUCAUUGCUGUCUGAGGCUGUUCUCCUGUUACUUAAGGCAAGAGAAACAGGUGCCGAUGCCCUGUGACUCAGGAGCUGUACCUCCAGGAACUGAGCGCUACAGAUAUGCUCAUGCAACCUUAUCUGAAAGAUUUUCCUAAAUGGCAAUUUUUAUACUUCUUCAUAAACCAUUCCCUUGACUGCUUCUCUUUCAACUCAUAUGCAUAAAAGACUUCACCCCAGGACCAGAUAACAAAACAGUUAAUAACAGGAAGGAUAAGCCUUCAGAACUUGCCAAGCAAAAGGAGAGAUUGGUAUGCACAAAGGUAAAUAUGUAAGAUGAUGAAUAAUUGAAAUUUAAAUGAGUGGCUCACAGUAGUGCUCAAAAAGUUCAAAGAGGAAAGGAAGGCAGGUGGAAGUGGUCCUGUUUGUGUGUGUUUGUGUGUGUGAGCAUGCAUGCUGGGAAAGGAAUUCGGUAAUGGAUGAAGACAUCAUGCAAGAUGGUUGAAGUGUCAGUAACAGUCUUUGGAAUAUGAGUUGAGAAAGGGAAAUAAAAAGUUGAAUUUGGAAAUGAUGCUUGAGGCCAGAAUGUAAAAGGCCUUGAAGGUCAAAUUAAGAUGUGCUAUCAUACAUUAUAAGUCUUGUCUUUCACACCAAUAUAUGUUGACCCUCUUAGAAAUGGUGAAUUAGAGAGGAGAUGAAGGGUUCCUUUAAAGAAGAAAUCUAGGCAAACAACAGCACACUGAGGAAAUGGUACCCAGCAAUUGCAUUCCACAAGAUUAAGUACAUUAGCAUUUCUAAAGAAAAAUAAUAAUUUAUAGUACUGUAUGUUUCCUACUACCUACAGAGUUAGAAAAUUGCUCAGUAACAUUGAAUUUGAAAUAUUCAAAGGGUGAGCUAGACAGGCACCAAGUAAUCUUUUGUAUGGUUGAGUGUGUGUUUCAAAAUGUUUCAGUUUUUCCUGACAGUGGCCACUUUUAUUAGGUAUUUACCUAGAAGCAGAUUUGCUGGAAUAGGUUUAUCUGUAUGUUCAGGUUAAAGUGGAUACUGACAGAUAUUUGCUUCUCAGGUGACUGUACCAAUUUACAUGCUCAUCAGCAAUGUAGCAUUCUUUAUGUGCUCCUGAAAGUUAGGAAGUUCUGAGCCUCAAUUCAGUUCUACAAAGGGUAAAAUUUUAAACAAUCUCCUUUGUAGUUCUCAUGCAUACCAAAUUUUUAGAGUUAUUAUCAGUGGUAUAAUAAAUAAAUUAUCUGUCCUUUAUUUCUGGUACCAGACACAGAACUUCAAAACUCUUGGAAUUUCUUCAGUGAGAAGACCGUCUAUUAUGCUAAUGAGGUGACUCAUAGUAGUGGGCCCCAAGUUAACUUCAGCAUGAGCACUAAUCCCAGAAAGACCAGCCACAUAAUUAGAGGGUUAAAAAUUAGGGACACGCUGGACUCUGGGAAAAUGGGAGUAGAUGGUGCUGGAGAUGGAGAUUAGUCAUGUGUCCAAUGAUUUAAUAAAUUAUAAAGCCCAAGUAAAACCUCUGGACUUCAAACUCAGUGAUGCUUUCUGGUUUGUGAAUACCCAGAAUCCACUUGCAGCCAGUGUCUGAGUUUGGCAUAUACUAAGUCUGUGUAAUUUAUUUGUUGAACAACUUAAUGCACUGAUUCUAACCUGAGUCUUACAUCCAACUCUUGUAUCAUUCUGGAAGUAUAAAGUCUACGAGCUUGUGUCUCUCAUGGUGAAGCUUGACAUUUUUGUCCAUGUAGGGAGAUUCAGGAAAGGUAUGACUAAACAGUGGGAAUAUUACUGUGUGGAAAAAGGCAUCAUCAUAGAAAAUGAAAUCCUCUAACACAACAAUUUUCAGUUCAAAGCAAGCCAAAACAAAUUGACUAUUCCACUUGUGACCUAAGCAGUGAGCAUUGGUAUCUCCAGUAAGAUUUGGCCUCUCCAGUAAGAUUAACAAGAGGACAGAAUACUGGAUAAAGAAGUAGUAUAUUUAUACAAUGGAAUAAUGCACAUCCAUAAAAAAAUAAUAAAAUAAUGUCAUUUAUAGCAACAUGAAUGGACUUAGGAAAUAUCAUUCUAAGUGAAUGCAGAAAGAGAAAGAAAAAUGCCAUAUGAUAUCACUUACAUGUAGCAUCUAAAAAAUAGAUGAAAUUAUUAAAAAAAGACUCACAGACAUAGAAAACAAACUUAUGGUUUCCAGAGGGAGAAGAGAGUAGGAAGGGCUAAAUUGAGAGCUUGAGAUUUGUAGAUAAUAAUAUAUAUAUAAUAUAUAAAAAACAAUUCCAUAUUGUAUAGCACAGAGAACUAUAUUCAAUAUCUUAUAGUAACUUAUGGUGAAAAGGAAUAUAAAAAAGAAUAUAUGUAUGUUAAUGUAUGACUGAAGCAUUAUCCUGUUCACCGGAA